rnacentral:rRNA from 1 species
AGCGCGAUCGGGUGAGUAUGCCUCGGAACGUGCCGAGUAGUGGGGGAUAACGCAGCGAAAGUUGUGCUAAUACCGCAUACGUACUGAGGUAGAAAGUGGGGGACCUUCGGGCCUCACGCUAUUCGAGCGGCCGACGUCUGAUUAGCUAGUAGGUGAGGUAAAGGCUCACCUAGGCGACGAUCAGUAGCGGGUCUGAGAGGAUGAUCCGCCACACUGGGACUGAGACACGGCCCAGACUCCUACGGGAGGCAGCAGUGGGGAAUUUUGGACAAUGGGCGAAAGCCUGAUCCAGCCAUGCCGCGUGUCUGAAGAAGGCCUUCGGGUUGUAAAGGACUUUUGUCAGGGAGGAAAUCCCUAGGGCUAAUACCCCUGGGGGAUGACAGUACCUGAAGAAUAAGCACCGGCUAACUACGUGCAGCCCGCCGCGGUA